rnacentral:lncRNA from 1 species
UGAAGAACCAUGUGAAUCAACCAACCCAUUGAUGUCUCACACGGGUUUUCACAGCGAGACAGUGAUGAGGAUAGAAUAAGACCAAGGAGGUUAAAGUGAGAAAUUUGAGGCGAUGGUGAGGCGGUGGGAUUUUGACAAUUGUUGGUGUUGUUAUUAUUGGACACUGUGGGAUUUUGCCAGAGUUGCCAGCUAGAGUGGUGAUGCAUGUCUUCCAGUAGCAUGGAUACUGUACAGUAGAGACGGCGGUGGCGAUGGUGGCUUUGGUGUGGAGAGAGAAGAAAAGAGAGAAAUGGGUGGGGCGAUAGGUUUUGUGUUGGUUGGAAUGAGGUAAUAUGAUUUGCGGCUAUUGGUGGUGAGGCGACAUUAGUAUUGUUAUUGUGGUGUUGCCGGAGAGAAGAGAUGAUGAUGAUAGCAAUAAGGAGGAGGAAGGGGCAAUGUCAACAUAGUUCUUUUAGAGAGAGAAAAAGAGAUGAAAG